UACGUAGGGGGCUAGCGUUGUCCGGAAUCAUUGGGCGUAAAGCGCGUGUAGGCGGUCCGGUAAGUCCGCUGUGAAAGUCCAGGGGCUCAACCCUGGGAUGCCGGUGGAUACUGUCGGGCUUGAGUCCGGAAGAGGAGUGUGGAAUUCCUGGUGUAGCGGUGAAAUGCGCAGAUAUCAGGAGGAACACCGGUGGCGAAGGCGGCAUCCUGGACCAAGUUCUGACGCUGAGUGAGCGAAAGCCAGGGGAGCAAACGGG
rnacentral:rRNA from 1 species